CCGUUCUUGUGCUCUGUGGUGUGCGUGGUGGUGCGACGGUUUGGUUGCGUGUUACACGUGAGACGUGACGGCGGCGUGGAUUUUUGCGAGGACGUCGCCUCCGAGGGGAUGGACGCGGAGGAUGCGCUCAAGGGAUACCGAUCAAAAAUCUCCCUCAAGAGCUCGGAACAAGACCUUGUGAUCCGACAUUAAAACUAAUGGUGUGUAACUGUCCGUAUAGUUCUUCCGAGACACCUCCGAUCAUUAGGUUUGAUGUCAUUUAGCAAAACCAGUCAAGCUU